rnacentral:lncRNA from 1 species
GUGGUUUGUUAUGCAGCAAUAACUAACACUGGGUUUUAACUCGAGAACGCUCUAGGUUCCUUUCUGCUCCAAUAGCAUUAUGUAACUCAUGCUAAGCCUCUCCUAAAGCUGCUACCACAGGAGCAGUGAAAAAGCCCAAGUACCAAAUUAGCCAGAGAUUUCUUAUAAGUUGACAGCUUUCUCAAGCCACAAAAUGCUUCGGGUACAGGUUUCCCUUCAGGAAAGUCAGUCCUGCAGGGUCAGAAAUGAGGAGGCGGAAAGAGUCGAGAAAUCAGAGGCUCCUUGUGCCUGAAGCACAGGUCACACAGAACAUCUGGUUUUUGUCACAUCUUACUCUGUAUCCAGUUUCCCAGCAAGGUCAAAGCAAGUGCCCUGACCCAGACAAUGGAGCUUGCUGUGGAGCUGUGGGUCCUGGAGACCCAGGCUUCAGCCCUGACUUCGACACUUUCCUCAGUGCCCACCUUUCAUCUGGAUGAUGCAGAGAAAGUCAACUAAAGCAGAUGCUGGCUGAGUCACAGCGUGAUGAAGCAUUGCUAACCCAAGACGUGAAUCGAGAGCACGUGGGGGAUACUGCUUUUAUGCUGAACUAGGAAGACAGCAGCCGCCAUCAAAGCCAGAAUCGAACAUAAAAUUUAACAAUCAAACACGACAAAAACAGUUUAAAAAUGGAUUUGUACUUUGUUUAUCAUCUGUUCCCCCAUGUUAGAAUGUUAGCUCUAUGAGAACAGAGCUUUCACUUCUGCUUCCUCUCCACUGUGUCUUCAGGACAACAAACACUGCC